AUUAUCUCUCUGUCUCUAACCAUCCUCUACCCCUCUGUGUAUUGGUCCAGGGGUGAACAGCCUUGCCCAGUCACUGAGUGCCAACCAGUCCAUCCCCAGCACCCUCAGUCACCUGGACCUCUCAGGGAACAUACUGCGGGCAGACGACAUCCCGCAUUUCUACCAUUUCCUGGGCCAACCCAACAGCCUGACGACUCUGGACUUGUCCAACACAGACUGUUCUCUGGACCUGGUGUGUUCUGCUCUCCUGAGAGGCUCCGUCCAGAACCUCUCUGUCCUCAACAUGUCCAAGAGUGUAUUUGCACAUAGGAAAGGCAAAGAUGUGCCUCCAUCCUUCAAGCACUUCUUCAGCG